rnacentral:rRNA from 1 species
CGAGCGAAGCGGGAAGAGCUCAAAUUUAUAAUCUGGCACCUUCGGUGUCCGAGUUGUAAUCUCUAGAAAUGUUUUCCGCGUUGGACCGCACACAAGUCUGUUGGAAUACAGCGGCAUAGUGGUGAGACCCCCGUAUAUGGUGCGGACGCCCAGCGCUUUGUGAUACAUUUUCGAAGAGUCGAGUUGUUUGGGAAUGCAGCUCAAAUUGGGUGGUAAAUUCCAUCUAAAGCUAAAUAUUGGCGAGAGACCGAUAGCGAACAAGUACCGUGAGGGAAAGAUGAAAAGCACUUUGGAAAGAGAGUUAACAGUACGUGAAAUUGUUGGAAGGGAAACGCUUGAAGUCAGACUUGCUUGCCGAGCAAUCGGUUUGCAGGCCAGCAUCAGUUUUCCGGGAUGGAUAAUGGUAGAGAGAAGGUAGCAGUUUCGGCUGUGUUAUAGCUCUCUGCUGGAUACAUCUUGGGGGACUGAGGAACGCAGUGUGCCUUUGGCGGGGGUUUCGACCUCUUCACACUUAGGAUGCUGGUGGAAUGGCUUUAAACGACCCGUCUUGAAACACGGACC